GCCUUCGUGGUGUAAUGGUCAGCACACUGAGCCGGUAAUUCAGAGGUCCGCGGUUCGAUCCCCGGCGAAGGCC
rnacentral:tRNA from 1 species